AUGAGAGAGAAUAUGAUAGAGAUGAUGGGGAGCUCCCAUUUAUUCAGGAACCGUCUUCUUGAUUUUUCUCUUUACGGGGCUCUUCUUCUGGUCGCCUUGUUUUACGUCUUCGUCUCCAAUAAGCCCUGCUUCUUCUCCCCCAAAUCCCAAUGCCUCUCCAACUUUAUCAGCAUGGAGGUACACGAGGAGGACGAACUCGAGAGAGCGUUGAAGGAGACGGCCACGGAGAACAGGACGGUGAUCAUCGCCGUCGUGAACGAAGCGUACGUGGAAGGCGACAAGGCGAUGCUCGACCUGUUCCUGGACGCCUUCUGGCUGGGAGAAGGGACGCAGGGCUUGAGGGAUCAUCUUCUGGUGGUGGCCGCCGAUCAGAUGUCGUACGACCGCUGCAAGUUCCUCCGGCUGCACUGCUACAGACUGGAGAACGGCGCCGGCGAGGAUCUCUCCGGGGAGAAGCUGUACAUGUCGGCGGGCUUCAUCGACAUGAUGUGGAGGAGAACGCAGUUUCUCGGCGACGUUCUCAGGCGUGGCUACAACUUCAUCUUCACGGAUACAGAUGUAAUGUGGUUUAGAAACCCAUUUACAAGAUUCUCUCUAGAUGAAACAAUAGACAUGCAAAUCAGCUGCGACCAUUUCAAUGGCGACGAAUGGUCCACAAGGAAUCCCAUCAACACUGGCCUGUACAUGAUUAGAUCCAACAACAAGACCAUUGCCCUUUUCGACACUUGGUAUUCCAUGAAAGCCAACUCCACUAGGCUCAAAGAGCAAGAUGUUUUGGCAAAGCUCUUCCACAACGGUGUGGUUGGAGACUUAGGGGUUAAGGUUCGAUUUCUUGACACUUGCUUUUUCAGUGGGUUUUGCCAGAAUAGUAGAGAUGUAAAAGCUGUGGUGACUGUCCAUGCCAACUGUUGUAGAAGUAUAAGUGCAAAGUUGGCUGAUCUAACGGCUAUUAUUCAUGAUUGGAAGAGGUCGAAGAAUUUGUCGCCUAAUCAAACAACUACCUUUCAGUGGUCAAAUCAUACUGCAUGUACCAAGUCUUGGAGAUAUUAAGAAUUUUAAGAUAUUUGAGAGGUGAAGAUACUUUCUAAUUAGGUAUGUAUGAUGUAAUUAAGUAGAUGUAAGGAGCAAGGUGGGACAUAUUUUUUUCUUAAAGUUGCAUUUGAAUAAGUGAAUUUAAGGUGGAGACAAUAAUCGUCAAGUUCCCAACUCUGCACAAAUCUUUGAACUUACCCCAAGAAGCCUUAAUUUGCUAAUCACUACAUAAAAGCUAGCUAAUAUCCAAAAAAGCCAAUCAAAUUAAUUAAUUAAGCCUCUCUUGAUCCCAAAAUAAUUUCGCCCUAGCUGUGUUUAAGGUGGCGUAAUACAUUUUCAAUAUUUUAUCUGACCAAAGAGAAGAAAUUUUUGGUCAAAUAAAAUGAAAAUUGAGUAGACUGACCAAAGAGAAAAAAAUUUGGUCAUGGUUUCAUACGUAAGAGAAGGCAUGUCGUGCACGCAGCUCUGGCCUGUGGGCGGCUUCCACAAAGCAUUAAUGCCUUCAUUGACUUGGGCUGCCCUCCUGCCAUCUGUCCCCCGAUCCCAUAAUUUUUAAUAAUUAAAAUAAAUUUAUGUAUGAUCCAUGGUGAUUGUGCAAGAAAUGAAUUUGAAUUUGGGAAUGUAAGCCGUCUACCACUUUUUUACUGACCAUUGAGGCAAUGACAGGAGACCUAAUGCCUUUGUUGAUUUGUAGUUUGGUUCCAAUCACUUGACUAAAUAGAGUAUAUACGAAUGUGAUAUAAGAUUUAUUUAUAUCCUUAAAAAGAUAAACAUAAGAUUAAUCGUGUACAAAUUCUAUUAAUAGGACAAUAAUAAUCUUAAUCAACAAUAAAAAUAAGCAAUUUUAGAUCAUGAUAAUACGGAUAAAUUUGAUUACUCUAAUUAUCUGGAGUUAGCUUGAAUAUCUUGACAUUCCCAUCAACUUGAGUUUGUGAACUAUAAAAUCUGCCUGUUGGCACUGUACUUUACAUGGCCCACACCCCUUGUGCCUGCAAAUUACCGGGCAGCUACACUCGUCCAGGUCUCGAUGAAGCUUCCUCUCAACAAAUUGCGGAGAAAGACUUUAUUGAGUCGACGGGCAGACGACUUGCCCAUAUGAUGGUUCUGUACGUACGGUAUUCCACCACCAUCUCUAUAUAAAGGCAUCUAUGGCGGUGGUGGAGCUGCACCACUGAAGAUUAAUUAACAGAGAGAAAGAAUACAUACAUACAUAUAUUGUUUAGGAUGGCAGGAAGAAUGAGGGGCAUUAGUUCACAGUCGGCACCGUUUGUGGUUCUGGUUUUGGCGGUGGCGAUGGGCGGUUGGGUGGCGAGCGGCGACACCAGCCCCAGCCAGUGCAAGGAGGAGAAGCGGCUGCUGGUGAAUGCCUGCCGGCCGAUCAUCUUUGGGCAGAACCCGUCGGCGGCUUGUUGCCAGAGGGUUAGAGUAACCAAUGCGGAGUGCGUUUGCCCCUACGUUACCCCCAAGGUGGCUGCUCUCAUCAACGUUCCACGCACCAUCAAGCAGAUUGAAGGCUGCGGCCGGACCGUUCCCCGCAACUUCAAGUGUGGCAGUAUCACCACCCCACCAUGAGCACAUAACUACACACGUGGACUAGCUUCAAUUCAAUAAAUUAUGAAUGUGUUUGAAGUGUUUCUGCCCGUUCUUAUUAUGGAGACAAAGAGAGAGUAUUCUGUAUAACUCUUUCUAAUGAAAUAAAUUUAAUAAUAAAUAAAGCAGCCCAUAAUAUGUAAUGCAAUAUAGAUAUAUUAUGGUUUAAUCCUCUUUCAGUUGAGCAUUUCAA